GAUCCUGGCUCAGAUUGAACGCUGGCGGCAGGCUUAACACAUGCAAGUCGAACGGUAACAUAAAGAAGCUUGCUUCUUUGAUGACGAGUGGCGGACGGGUGAGUAAUGCUUGGGAAUCUAGCUUAUGGAGGGGGGAUAACUACGGGAAACUGUAGCUAAUACCGCGUAGUAUCGGAAGAUGAAAGUGUGGGACCUUCGGGCCACAUGCCAUAGGAUGAGCCCAAGUGGGAUUAGGUAGUUGGUGAGGG
rnacentral:rRNA from 1 species